UACGUAGGGUGCGAGCGUUAAUCGGAAUUACUGGGCGUAAAGCGUGCGCAGGCGGUUUUUGUAAGUUUUGUCGUGAAAGCCCCGGGCUCAACCUGGGAAUUGCGAUGAAGACUGCAAGGCUUGAAUCUGGCAGAGGGGGGUAGAAUUUCCACGUGUAGCAGUGAAAUGCGUAGAUAUCGGGAGGAACACCAGUGGCGAAGGCGACUUCCUGGCCUGUUCUUGACGCUGAGGCGCGAAAGCUAGGGGAGCAAACGGGG
rnacentral:rRNA from 1 species